AGUGAACGCUGGCGGUAGGCCUAACACAUGCAAGUCGAACGGCAGCACAGUAAGAGCUUGCUCUUACGGGUGGCGAGUGGCGGACGGGUGAGGAAUACAUCGGAAUCUACUUUUUCGUGGGGGAUAACGUAGGGAAACUUACGCUAAUACCGCAUACGACCUACGGGUGAAAGCAGGGGAUCUUCGGACCUUGUGCGAUUGAAUGAGCCGAUGUCGGAUUAGCUAGUUGGCGGGGUAAAGGCCCACCAAGGCGACGAUCCGUAGCUGGUCUGAGAGGAUGAUCAGCCACACUGGAACUGAGACACGGUCCAGACUCCUACGGGAGGCAGCAGUGGGGAAUAUUGGACAAUGGGCGCAAGCCUGAUCCAGCCAUACCGCGUGGGUGAAGAAGGCCUUCGGGUUGUAAAGCCCCUUUGUUGGGAAAGAAAAGCAGCAGGUUAAUACCCCGCUGUCCUGACGGUACCCAAAGAAUAAGCACCGGCUAACUUCGUG
rnacentral:rRNA from 1 species